rnacentral:misc_RNA from 1 species
CACCCUCCGAGGACAGAACAGGACUCUUUGGGAGGCGGUCACGAAGGGUCCCACAGAAGUACGUACCUCAAUGGCUUUUGCUGCUUGCUCUUUUGUUUCAAAUUCCACAAAGGCAAAUCC